GAUGAACGCUGGCGGUAUGCUUAACACAUGCAAGUCGAACGGUACCUUCGGGUAUAGUGGCGGACGGGUGAGUAACGCGUGAGAAUCUAUCUUCAGGUCGGGGACAACAGUUAGAAAUGACUGCUAAUACCGGAUGUGCCGAAAGGUAAAAGAUUUAUUGCCUGAAAAAGAGCUCGCGUCAGAUUAGCUAGUAGGUGGUGUAAGAGACUACCUAGGCUUCGAUCUGUAGCUGGUCUGAGAGGACGAUCAGCCACACUGGAACUGAGACACGGUCCAGACUCCUACGGGAGGCAGCAGUGGGGAAUUUUCCGCAAUGGGCGAAAGCCUGACGGAGCAAUACCGCGUGAGGGACGAAGGCUCUUGGGUCGUAAACCUCUUUUCUCAAGGAAGAUUCAGACGGUACUUGAGGAAUAAGCAUCGGCUAACUCUGU
rnacentral:rRNA from 1 species